UUCCAAAUGUCUACUGCUUCUCUCCACCACUACAACACAUCCAUCUGUGCAACUACAUGGAAAGAAAGGUGUUUUCUGAUGUUUGACAACUCAGAUAAGGGUUUCAUCAAAAUCUCAGUGGAAGAGCAAGAGUGGUCAGAACCUGUGUCAGGAAACUGAUCAAAUGAUGUGCUGCUUCGUAAAGUUGCAAAAGACCAAGAGUGCAAGUUACCAUGAAAUAUGCAAUACUCCAUCCUCUGUAUGGGUGGGGCCUCCUCAUCUGGAAAUAUUCUAUUGUGCCAUCAUCACCCAUGUUGUGGAUGAGUGGAAGUCUUCAUUCUCUAAAGCUUUAUGAAUUCAAGAUUAAUCAUUUUCAAAUGUCUCAUAUUUGAAAUACUGAGAUGUCAAAAGACUAAAUAUCUGUCCCAUGA